rnacentral:misc_RNA from 1 species
CACUUUACCUGAAUACAGCCCAAGAUUCAUCAAUGUCCCAACUAUAAUUGUUUUGGUUGGUUUGCCGGCAAGAGGAAAGACCUAUAUGGCCAAAAAACUGGGACGCUAUCUUAACUGGAUAAGCAUUCAAACGAAAGUAUUUAAUGUUGGUGAAUAUAGACGGAAAGUUGUUGGGACAGACAAACUGCAUGAUUUCUUUAGAGUUGAUAAUGAGCAAGCCCAAGCCAUAAGAAGGCAGUGUGCAUUAACCUGUUUGGAAGAUGUCAGCAAAUGGUUGUCAGAAGGAGGACAAGCUGCAAUCUUUGAUGCUACCAACAGCACAAGAGAAAGGAGAGGACUUGUCCUGGAGUUUUGUCUGAGAAGAGGAUAUAAAGUAUUUUUUAUGGAGUCUGUUUGUACAAGUUCUGAAAUAGUGUCAUCCAAUGUCAAGGAAGUCAAAGUAUUUAGUCCUGAUUACAAAGAAGUGGACAAAGAAACAGCAUAUCAGGAUUUUGUAGAAAGAAUAAGACAUUAUGAAGAGGCUUAUGAGCCAUUAACCUUGGACUAUGAUGGUGACAGUUCAUUUAUAAAAAUCAUCAAUGCAGGAGAACAAUACUUGGUCAACAACAUUGAUGGAUAUCUCCAAAGCAAAGCAGUGUACUUCUUGAUGAAUUUACACAUAAGAAAACGAUCUAUUUACCUUGUCAGGCAUGGUGGAAGUGAAGAUAAUUUGAAGAAAACAAUUGGAGGUGAUUCUCCUUUGACUGCAGAAGGUGACAAGUUUGCCAAGGCACUUGCAGACUUUAUAGACAAACAAAAUGUAGAUGAUUUGCAGGUGUGGACGAGUCAGCUGAGACGUGCAGUUGAUACUGGAAAAUACAUCAGGAAAAUCCCAGUAGAGCAAUGGAAAGCACUGGAUGAGAUGGACUAUGGUUUAUAUGAUGGUAUGAAUGAAGAAGAGUUAUCAUCCAUAGACCCUGAUGAACAGGCAGCGAUGCAUGCUAACAAGUUUCUCUACAGAUAUCCAAUGGGAGAGUCUUACAGUGAUAUGUGUGCAAGACUAGAGCCUGUCAUCAUGGAAUUAGAAAGAUCAAAUAAUAUCUUAAUCAUAUCACAUGAGGCAGUAAUCCAGAUACUCAUGGGAUACUUUACUGACCACACCUCAGAAGAAUUCCCACAUCUGCACAUCCCGCAUAACACAAUAUUCAAGCUUACGCCAAUAGCUUAUGGAUGCAGAGUGGAGACAUUCACGUUAUCACAAACAGCAAACAGCUGAACUUAGAUUACAAUCGAUUGCGAUGAUAACGGAUAUGAUAUCCAGGAAGGCAGUAAUGAGCUGCUGUAAAAACGGUUAACUGGUUAUGGGUAUUGUACGGUCACGAAAAAAGAUGAAAACCAUGAAUGUCAAUAUAAAAAAAUGUAAAAACACAUGAGAAUAUAAUGUAAUUGUGUAUAAAAAUAUUUAUAAUAUGAUUCAAAAUAUGUAAAAAUAUUGAAAUAAUUGUUAUCGCUUUGUUAAACGAAAUUUUAUUAAAGUUGGCCCAUUAUUUUCAA